rnacentral:rRNA from 1 species
GUCGAGAAUCUUUCACAAUGGGGGCAACCCUGAUGGAGCGACGCCGCGUGGAGGAUAAGGUCUUCGGAUUGUAAACUCCUGUCAUGCGUGAACAAGGUUGCUUGGUUAAUACCUGGGCAAAUUGAUGGUAACGCAAGAGGAAGAGACGGCUAACUCUGUGCCAGCAGCCGCGGUAAUACAGAGGUCUCAAGCGUUGUUCGGAAUCACUGGGCGUAAAGGGUGCGUAGGUGGCGUGGUAAGUCAGAUGUGAAAGCCCGGGGCUCAACCUCGGAACUGCAUCCGAUACUGCCAUGCUAGAGUACUGGAGAGGUGACUAGAAUUCUCGGUGUAGCAGUGAAAUGCGUAGAUAUCGAGAGGAAUACCAAAGGCGUAGGCAGGUCACUGGACAGUUACUGACACUGAGGCACGAAAGCGUGGGGAUCGAACAGGAUUAGAUACCCGGGUAGUCC